GGAAAGAUGAAAAGAACUUUGAAAAGAGAGUUAAACAGUACGUGAAAUUGUUGAAAGGGAAACGAUUGAAGUCAGUCAUACCAACGGGAAAUCAACCUUUUGAGCUUGGUCUCGUGGGUUUUGAAGAGUUUCAAAGCCUUCGGAUUCGCGAGAUUGGGAUCUCUCGGUGUACUUUCUCGUACGGUUAGUCAACAUCGGUUUUGAAUGUCAUAAAAUGACUGGAGGAAUGUAGCUUCGAUCUCGUAUUGAAGUGUUAUAGCCUUUGGUAGAUGUGAUGUUUGAGACCGAGGAUUGCAACGGAUACCCUUCAGGGCUAUUCGUCUGAUCUCUGAUACGUUGCCUUGAUGUUGAAAGCUUGCUUAUGAUGUUAGGGUAUUACGGUCAAAAGGUUAGAACGAAUUACAUUCGUUAAGGAUGUUGACGUAAUGACUUUAAACGACCCGUCUUGAAACACGGACCA
rnacentral:rRNA from 1 species